UACGUAGGGUGCGAGCGUUAAUCGGAAUUACUGGGCGUAAAGCGUGCGCAGGCGGCGCGUUAAGACAGGUGUGAAAGCCCCGAGCUUAACUUGGGAAUUGCGCUUGUGACUGGCGUGCUGGAGUGUGGCAGAGGGAGGUGGAAUUCCACGUGUAGCAGUGAAAUGCGUAGAGAUGUGGAGGAACACCGAUGGCGAAGGCAGCCUCCUGGGCCAGCACUGACGCUCAUGCACGAAAGCGU
rnacentral:rRNA from 1 species